rnacentral:antisense_RNA from 1 species
UAGUCUUCUACUUUUAGCUUUCCAAUGUCUUCUGAGGCAGAGCAUUGAAUCACUUCUCUUUCUUCUUUUUUAUAUUUUUAUAUGAAUCACUUCUCUAGAGGAAGGCUAGAGGGCUCCUCAUUCACAAGUCUACAAUUCUUAUUCAUUUUGCUGACUAAUAUGAAGCGGACUCUGUUCUCCAUUCUUAUAAGAUGGUUCAGUUAAUUCUCUUUCCAGGGCUUCUCACAUUCUUCGGUGUGAGAAUAAGGUAGGACAGAAUUUGUUCCCCUUAUUUUAUUAAGUAUUGGUAGAAGUGGUCAAACGAAUGAACAUUUCCAAAUUAUCUUUUUUCUUUUUUCUUUUUUUUUUUUUUGAGACAGAGUCUUGCUCUGUCGCCAGGCUGGAGUGCAGUGGCACAAUCUCAGCUCACUGCAACCUACGACUCCCUGGUUCAAGUGAUUCUCCUCCCUCAGCCUCCCGAGUAGCUAGGAUAACAGGCACGCCCAGCUAAUUUUUGUAUUUUUUGUAGAGACAGGGUUUCACCAUGUUGGCCAGGAUGGUCUUGAUCUCCUGACCUUGUGAUCCACCUGCCUCGGCCUCCCAAAGUUCUGGCAUUAUAGGUGUUAGCCACCACGCCCAGCCCCAAACUAUCUUAUCUCCAAGACACUCAAUCCUUUUUUUUUUUCCAUUAGUGACUCGUGAUACAGAAGACUCACUCCUUUUACAAAAAGAUAGGAAAAUGUGCAUUUGUGCUUGCAUGCAUUCUUUAGUCAAAGGAAUCCCCUCUGCCCCCACCCAGCCAACAUUUUUUUUACUCUGGUUUUGAAAGUAAUAUUGCAUUUUCUACUUUUUUUCUUUUUAAUAACAAACAUUUAAAUUUAUAAAUAUAUACCUUUUAUGUGAGAUUCAAACAAUAUAAAAUUGUUUAACAAAAACCCUGACAGCCCCCAUUUAUCUCUGUCACUAUCUCAAUCAUUUUCCCAGUAGUCAUUGCUGUUAACAGGUUGGAUCAUUGUUCUCAGUCCCUUUGCUGUGCACAGUUACACAUACGGGUAUAUAUUACAUCUUUAAAAAACACAGUUAGGGCCCUAGUAUGCAUAUUGUCCUAUAGUUUGCUUUGUUCAUCUGAAAAUAUGUCUUGGCGAUUUUUCCAUUUCAUAUUCCUUUUCAAAGCUCCAUCAUAUUUUAUAGCAAAGAUAUAGAAUGCUCUAUUUCAAGACUACCCUAUUGAUGGACUUUUCUUGUGGUCUAUUUUAUGCUAUUUUCAACAAUUUUUAAUAAGUAAUCUUAUACACAAAGAUAUAUAGGGUAUAAAAUUUCUAAUUUAUUUUCAGUUUUGACAGAUACUAUAAAUUGCCUUCAGAAAAGUUUCAUCUGUUUAUAGUUCAAGUAACAGCAUAGAGGAGACUCUGAAUCCUUCAAUGAUCACAUCACUUGAUUUUAUAUAAUUUGAAACAUUUUUGCUAAUCUGACAGAAAUUCUUCUUGUAUUUUUCAGAAAACUUAUAAUAAGGUCUUCAUUCUGCAUUCAUUUCCAUAGCAUAAAACCUGUGACCAGACUCCCUCAGUUCAUACCAUGGCUCUGCCACUUAUUUGCUGCAUGAUCCCAGGCACAUUGCUUUACUUUGCUGUGGUUUAGUUCCUCCCCUCUGAACAUGGUGGCAAUAAUGAUACUUUACUCCUAGGGUGGUUGUGAGGACAAAAUUGGUUAACCUGUGUAAAACACUUAGAGCUACAUCUUGCACAUUGUAAAGAUAUGUACAUACUUGUUUUAUUACUAUUCUCUAUAUUUUUUAUUUUCCUGAAUACAAAAAAUGGUUUUGGUAUGUUGUUUUUCUAUUUGGCCAUUUUGUUGAGUUAUCUUAUUUAUUAUAAUGGUUUUUUUUAAAAUGACUUCUCUUAGAUUUCCUUGGUAGAGGAUUGUAAAAAUUAGAGAGUUGAGCAGUUGAGGCCAUCCUUUGCAAUAGUUAAAACUCUUUUUUUUUUCUUGUCUUAUUACAUUGGCUAAUAUCUCUCAUGGCAAUGAUAAUGGAAAUCCUUGUCUUGUUCCUAAGUAGUAAGACUUCCUCUGAUAUUUCACCAUUAAGCAAGAUGUUUGCUGUAGGAUUUGGUAACUAUGCUUUAGAAGAUGAAGAUAUUUUAUUGUGAUAAAAAUGAUAUUAUUAAAGUAUUUUUUUAAUGAGAAAGCAUGAUGAAUUUUAUUAAAUGUUCUCUUUGGCAUCUUUUAAAUUUAGCAUAUAUUUUUUCUAUUUUAAUCAGCCUAUGUGGUGAAUUUUAUUAGUGGAUUGCCCAAUGAUAAAUAAGGUUUCCUUCGUCAGUCCAGGCAGGACUGUGCGUUUGGAAAAGGGACGGAUGCUGGUCCUGGAAGGGGCGUCGUUAUCUAGAAGCUCCCAACCUAAGUGGGUGACUCAUAGGGAGGGCAAGGAGAGAAGGACACAGCAAGCAACUUACAUGUAAAACAAGACGUGUGGGUUAUUAUGGAAGAAAUUCACAACCAAACUUGGGGUUAGCCCGUAUUGUUUUCCAAGAACUCUAUGUGGACAGUGACAAAAAACAGACCUGAGAACUAGCAGAUCGGGCAAAGCUUUUUCACAUAACAACAAAGAAAAAGCAAUUCCUCAGGAAAAAAUGGUCAAUGGGUCAUUGUGUGUAGACAAAACUACAAGUUCUGCUCCAGACUCUGGGGAAACCAUGCUGCCAUCUUCAAGCUGUGGCCAUUCUGUAAUACAGACUACGCUAAAUCACAUGUUGUCAUCAAGGCAGAAUAUUUUGUUCUUUUAUGGGUCAGCCUGGGAUACAAAAUUAGAGAAAUUUGCAAUGAAAAAUCCCUUGUGUCUCAUUGAACUUUUUCCUUAAUUCAAACCUUUCCUUUCACAGUUUUGAUUAGUGCCUUUGCCCAUGUGGACAAUAUUUUAUGAUCAGGUUUUAAGAGUAAUCUAUCCAUGGCUGCUUGGCUGCCUGGAACUUAAAACAACGACAACAACAAUGUCCAGAUAAACCCAAUAAAAUAGGCUUUUAAA